rfam:Salmo salar isolate Sally breed double haploid chromosome ssa12, whole genome shotgun sequence.
UGAACUCACUUCUCUAAGUCACUCUGGAUAAGAGUGUCUGCUAAAUGACUAAAA